ensembl:lncRNA
UCACCUUGGCUGCAGACUGGCUGUGGUAGCGGUCGAAAGUGUGGAAUUUCUGGUUGAGUUCAUGGUACAGCUCCGAGUGCCGCUUGCGGGUAUGCAUCACCUUCUAGGAGCCACUGGACAUCAGUGGAGUGCUCCCUUGGGCCAGCACCAGGGACCCAUCUCCACAGCUCCUGCCUGGACCACCCAGCAGCCUGGGCCCCACCUCCCAGCCUCUGGGACAAGGCUGGCUCUCUCUCUGCCCCAGAGCCCAAGCCUGGGCAGGAGGGAGCAGUGGGAAGAUCCCACAGAAACCACAGAGUCCUGGGGUCAGAGCCUGCAGUGGCCCCUCCAGGUACAGAUGCUCCAUCCCCCUAACACACACUGCACUCACCUCAAAGUCCAGGUCUGAAUAUCGAAGCUUCUUCCGCUGGAGGCAGCAAGGAGGAGGCAAUGAGCAGAGGAAAGCAUUUUACCACAGGCAUAAGGCCCUGCAAACAGCUGGGCCCAACCACACACAAACUCAUAACUCCCUGCCCCAAACUGUGCCACUGCUUCGUGUGCUGCCCCCAUUACAAUUUUGAACGUCAUCCUUGACUCCUCAAACAGCUGCCAUAGUUAUUGCUACCUCCCACACAAGGAGCUCAGCACUGGGCCCUCCCUCAGUGGCCCAACCACGGGCAGGUGUUCACAGAACAAACCCACCAUGAUGUUGAGUGCACCCCUCUCCAAUGCCAGCGUUGUUUUUUCUGUCUUUGUUAUGCCUUCCUGUUUUUGCCAUCUGUGGCAGGAGCAGGCACCAAAUGUUCAAGAAACAUUUUAAUAUAAAAACUAAACUUGUGACCCCUUUAGCUGCUAACUUAAAUUUCUUUGAGAAGAAGUUAGGGAGUAGGUUUCCUUUUUUCCCCAGUCUUUUUUUGGGGGCGGGCAUACUGACGAUUGAAUGAAGCCCUUAUGCAUGGUUGGCAAGCACUCUACCACUGAACUACAUCCCCAGCCCUUUUUUAUUUCUUCUAAAUUUUGAGAUAGGAGUCUCAUUAAGUUGCCCAAGCUGGCCUGGAACUCAAGACACUCCUGUCUCAGCCUCCCAAGUAGCUGGGAUUACAGGUAUACACAAUCACACCAGCUCAGGGAGAAGAUUUCUAUGACGAACAUGACCAGCCAAUGGUUUCUGAGCAACAAUGCUAGCCCUUUUCCCUAUCCACAUCCCCCUCAUUCUUCCAACUAGAGUUCUAAAAUGUUCUAUAGGCCACUACCCAUGGGCCAUGGGCCAUGAGCAACUGCCCUUGUUUGUUCCCAGUGAUUCUCUGCAUGGAGCUGGCUGGAGGGACAGGGAAAACAUCAACAAAAAACACCUGAGAAGGGCUACAGAGGGGCUUACAAUAUCUCCAGGAAGAGAGGGGCUAUUACCACAGGCCAUAGAUAGUGCUUGAGGCUGACUUCAGGAUUAAUAAUGACUGUAACACCCAAUUUUCUAGCACUUCCUACUUGCUCCACACAGAAAUAAAUGCCUUAUAUCAUUCAAUUAAUCCUUCCAACAAUCUUACAAAGACACUACUGUUAUCCUCGCUUUGCACACAAGGAAACUGAGCCACAGAGAGAGUAAGUGAUUUACUCAGUAUCUCACUGCCAGUCAGCAGUGUCCAGAAUGGAACCUGGGGUCAUGUGAUGCAGAGGUCCAGACCUCUGUUCUGUGGCUUCUCUAACAAUUUAGUACCUUACCAGAGCCACAGUCUCCUCAAACGAGGACUCACAGUUGCCCCAAAGUAGGCAUGAAAGCAAGAGUGAGGGAACUGAGAACUACACUCCCUCUGCAUGAAGUCCAAGCCCAUCUAAAGGAUUCAGAUACCCCAGGAUUUCCCUGGAGCAGCCACAAGCCCCCACAGAGGGGGAAACACGCAGCAUAUACACCCUGGUGACUUGGGCUCAAGAUGCUGCCCUGCGGAGGUUGAUGGCCGUCCCUUUCUUCCUAGCUGCAGCCUGUGACUUAGACAUGGUCCAGGCACACAAUAAGCAGACCCCCUCCCUGUGCCCCUGCCCCUCACCUCCAGAGAGCCCAGCUUCAUGGUAGAGCCAGGCACUGUGCGGGGGCAUGGUCCGGCUGCGCUCCCCUGGCUCGGGCACUUGGCGGGCACUGGGGGUUGGCGGUGGUGGUUGGAAAGUCAUCCCAUAGGGGUUCUGGAGAGACCCAUAGGCAGGGCCCAGCCCCAGACCCGAGUGGUCCACAGACAGGAAGCUGGGGUAGCCUUCGGUGUGGGUCAGUGCCUUGGCAGCCCGCCGGGGGUCCCCUCGGGCCGGGCCCUGGGGGCAUCCUCACCCCUCCGCCCCCACUGCCAGGCUGCAGGCUCAUAGUCCGCCGGGGCAGCACCAUGUAGUCCCCCUCAGGAGCCAGCCUCGGUUGGCCGCAGCCACGUGAGGUCCAGCUGCCGCAAGCCACCCUCCCCACACAUGUACACAGGGUUGGUCUCCUGCGGGGGGUGGCUCGGCCCAGCCCUGGUGAGGCUGCCAUGGGCACCAGGAUGUUCCCAGGCAGCGGUGAGAAGCUGAGGCCACCCUCAGGACCCACAAGGCAGGACUUGGGCUCCUCGUCCUCGUCCAGGGACAGGCGGGAUAGUGUGCCCGUGAUGGUGGACGGGUUGCAAGUGUUGACCUCCUUGAACAGAACUGAGGACAGGAGUGGGAGGGAUGAGUGAGCUCUGAGGAGAAACAGCCCCCAGACUCCCUUGCCUGGGCUGGCCAAGUACCAAAUCUGCCCUAGCACAGGAAGGGAAACUAAGUCCUGGAGAGUUGCUUGGGUGGUUGGUACUCUCACACACCAGAGGGGAUAAAAGACACCUGGUUCAGAGGCCCAUGGGGAGGUAGAGCUCCCACAGGGGCCUAGUGCACAUCCUGACCUCUACCCUACAGCCCAAGGCUGCCAAAGGGCCCUGUUCCUCCCACACCCUGGGCAGCACCUCCCCAGGAGACAGGACAGGAAGCUGCUCCCCAGAUGUAUACAGUAAGUGGCCUUCACAUCCUUGACCCCACCUCAGGGCUGCCUGAUGUCAAAGCUGGACUCCAGCAGCCAUGCCCCCAUCAGGGCCUCCCAUGAUGGGGCCUGGGCCCCCUUCUUGCCCAUCCCUGGAGCUGCUGUCAGCUCUAUCCCAGCAGACUCACCUGUUUGACAGGCCAGAUCCACAUCCUUUUCAAAGUCUGACUAUAGGCGGAGAGGCAGAGAGCAGGAUGGGCAGAGGGAAGAUCAGUGUAUCAGGGGAAGGGGAGCUCGGGUCCCCAUCCCCAGCUCUGCUCAGUCUGCCCA